AACGCACAUUGCGCCUUCUGGUAUUCCGGGAGGCAUGCCUGUUCGAGCGUCAUCAAAAACCUCAAUCAGCAAUUUAUUGGUGAUUGGUCUUGCAUUGGAGGCGCAAGCUUCCUGUGCGAAAUUCAAUGGCGAUGAGCCACGCAGCCAAAGCGUAGUAAAUUACUUUCGUGAUGGUGAAGUGGAAGCAUCCGCCGUAACCCCCCCAUAUCUAAGUUGUUGACCUCGGAUCAGGUAGGGAUACCCGCUGAACUUAA
rnacentral:misc_RNA from 1 species